rnacentral:lncRNA from 1 species
UUUUUUUUAUUUUUUUUUCAUUUAUUCAUUCAGUAAGGAGAGAAAAACUUAUUAACUGGCUAUUUGUGUGUAUGUGCAACAGGUGUACCAAUCCAGUGGAUAGUUCGAGAGGCUUUUUAUGUGAAACGUGUGGAAUAGGUACCUUUUUUAUAAAAAGCGAAUAUAAUGAAGAAAUUUCAUUAAUCACAAAGUGUAACAUUUGUUUAGCAGAGACAACAGACACUUCGGCAUAUGAAUAUAUAGAAUACGAAAAUAGCUAUAUAGAAAAAUUACAAGAAUUAAGUAAAAAUGAUUUACCAGAAGUUCUGAGUGUAUAUGUACAAGCAGCUAAAAUUUUUACUCAACAUUGGGUCAUGUAUCAAUUAUGUACGAUGCUUUUUGAAGGAUAUCGAGAUGCAUGCGAAUGGGAUCAAGCUAUUUAUUACCAGACGUUACGAAUUAAUUAUGCCAUUAAUGUUAUACCUAGAGCGAACUAUGUAUUAGCUUGGUUAUAUGAAGAGUUAGGAGAACUUCAUGCUAAUGCUAUUAAUAGAAAUAUUUUCUUAACUGAUAACGACUAUACUAUAACAUAUGAGGAAAAAAAACGUAUAUGUUCCCAUUUUUUGAAAUCAAUACAUUUGUUGGAGAUAUUAUGUGGAUACUCUCAUGACUAUUUAAAAGAUUCUUUGAAUAAAUAUUACAGAAUUGAUAGUUUAACUACGAAAGAUGUCCCACAGAUUGAAGAAGAAAAAAAAAAAGAAAAAAACAUUAUAAUAGUAAUAUAAAAAAAAAAAAAAAAAAGGAAAAUAAAGAAUCAUGGCAUACUCUCA